CAGGCUACCUUAUCUAUGUGCAUAGCAGUUUCUAUAUUCAUAGCUAGUUAGAGAGGGCCCAACCAAAAUGAGCAUAGAAAUUUUAUUUUUUUAAUAUUUAAAAUAUAGAUAUAGAUAUAGAUAUAGAAGAAGGAUAAAGAGUAAAAACCUAUAAUAUUAUGUAUUUAUUAUUUUAUUAUUUUUGUUUAUAUAAAAGAGGGGAUAAAAAAGGAAAAAAAUGUCACAUACACAGCCGAUAGGAACGUCUUUAAAAAGAACUGAAAAAGAACAUGCCGAUAGGAACGUCUUUAAAAAAACAGAUGGUUUCUCCAAAUUUAAAUUAAGAUUCUUACUAUAUGUUAGAUUAGAAUUGGAUCUCGUAUCAUCACUAGACGCGAGUUGUUCUAACCCAUGUGAACAUGGGCUCAAUAUAUUUUGGAAUUGGACUCUGUAUCACGUUAAAUAAAAGCUAUUUUAACUUAUACAAGCAUGAGUUAUUAUAUAUAUAAGUCGUCUAGAAUAAUCUACAUUGUCCGGUAGAACAAGAGCUAUUUUAACUUGUAUGAGCCUGAAUUAUUACAUAUAUAAGUUUAUAGAUAGAAAAGGGUCACACUGAUAGACUGUGUGAGGUGACUUGGCCAAAAGGGCAGCCAAAACCUUAUGAUCGGAGCUUGAGAUGCCUGCCCCCAAAAAAGAAGAGCACGGGUGAAGGAGGUGGUUGGGGGGAACUUCACUCUAUGUUGCCAUGGCGGUCUAGCUCAGGAGGUUCAGGAAGUAGAGGUAGCUUUGGGAGUUGGGGGAAGUCAGAAGAUCGGAAACGGAGUGAUGGGCCUUCAUGGAAAAAAGGAGUUUCUGAUAGUGUGGAGGAGAAGGAUGAUAAAGGGGGCAAGCGUGGGGAAGAGACGGAGGUGACGAGCCCUUUAAAAGUACUAGUUGCGGUUGAUACAACACUGAAGGGGAGAGGUUCUGAUGCUAAAAAAGGACUGUUUGGUACAGCGGUUCUCUCUGACGUGAACAGUACCAUGCAAUCGGGCAACGUGGUGGUUGAGAAGGGCGAUGAGGGGAAGGUGAAAGGAGUUGCCGCGGGCGAGGCCGCUGAGAAAAAAGGGAAGUGGAAGAGGCAGCAGCAGAAGAGGGGGGAAGCCCAAGUUAAAGCUAAUUCAGUGGAUGAGCAAUCCUCCCAGGCUGGGAAAAAACGCAACCGGGAAAGUUCAUCCCCGAUGGAUAUUGAUGAGGCAAAAAGGGUGAGGAUGAAGGAAGAUGGAGAGAAGAGUUUGAAGUCAGAGUUUCUUUUGGAAGCGGGACCGGCGGACCGGUCUUGCGAGCAGAAAUGAAGAUAGCAGUGUGGAACUGUCGGGGGCUCAACAACUCCGCGGCAGUUCGCGGACUUCUGAAUUUUCAGAAGUCCGAGGGGGUGGACAUCCUCUUUCUGUCAGAAACUCGUAUGACGGAAAAGCGGAUGAUGCGUUUUAAGCAAAAGUUGCAAUUGGGAAACAUGGUGGCGGUGGACUCGGUAGGAAAAGGGGGGGGGAAUUGCUGUGUUGUGGAGGGGUGGAAUCGAUGUGAUGAUUCGAGGAAAAUCGAAGAAUUACAUUGAUAUGGUAAUAAAAGAGGAUGACGGAAGAAGAUGGCGUUUCACUGGCAUCUAUGGUGAAUCACGAGCAGAACUGAAGCAUGAGACCUGGACGGUGAUGCGUGAUCUCCAUGAUCAGUACGUACAAGAUCAGAUGCCAUGGUUAUGUGCCGGUGAUUUUAAUGAGAUCCUCUUUCACCAUGAGAAGGAAGGAGGGGUCCCACGUGGCCAGGGAUGCCUUGAUCGAUUUAAAGAAGCCCUGGAACAUUGUGGUUUGGAGGAUUUGGGCUUCUCGGGUGAUGUUUUCAUGUGGAGAAAUAAACAGCAACAUGAAAAAGAUUAUAUCCGUGAAAGACUGGAUAGAGCAGUAGGGAACGAGGCUUGGAGGGAGUGGUUCCCGUUAAUGCAUGUGAAAAAUUGUGACCACUUUCAUUCGGAUCACAGGCCGGUGCUGGUGUCUCUGGAAGGAGUGCAACCGGAUGAUCAGGUGAAAGGGGAUCGAGCUUUUAGGUUUGAGGCGAGCCUUCUUAGGGAGGAGAACUGUGAAUCAAUAGUUGUAGAUGCAUGGGAGGCCGGGAAGGAUUGGGGGAGUGGUAGAGUGGUUGACAAGCUGAAAAGUGUCGCAGCCGAUUUACAGUCGUGGAAGGUGAAUGUGUUAGGAGAUUUAGAGAAGAGGGCGAAGAAAUUAAAGAGAGAUUUAGAAAGAUGCAGAAGGCAACAGAUUGAUGCCUCCUCUGUCCAAAGGGAAGCUGUUCUGUCGUACAGACUUGACAAAGUAGAAGAGCAAAUUGAUAUUUUGUGGAGACAGAGAGCUCAUGCUGAUUGGCUGGCAAAAGGAGAUAGAAACACAAAAUUUUUCCACAGCUGGUGUUCGGAGAGGAGGAGGAAUAGAAUAGGAAAGUUAGAAAAGGAGGAGGGGGUUUGGGUGGAAGAUGAAGUAGAGAAGCAGGAUUUUAUUACUAAUCAUUUUAUGCAGCUUUUCAAAGCGGGGACUGUGGGCGACACACAAAGGCUUCUCCAAGCAGUGUCGCCCAUGGUAACCAUGGAGAUGAAUGAGGCUCUCAUGCGGGAGUUCUCGCCAGAGGAGGUCAAAUCUGCCCUCGAUUCGAUUGGUGAUCUCAAGGCACCGGGUCCGGAUGGUAUGCCAGCCCUCUUUUACAAGAGGUUCUGGGGUACUGUUGGUGAUCAAGUGACUCAUGAGGUUCUUGCAGUGCUGAAUGGAGGGGAGAUGCCGAAGAGCUGGAAUGAUACUGUGAUUGCCCUCAUACCAAAAGUGAAGAAUCCUGAAAAGGUCACAGAGCUACGCCCCAUCAGUCUGUGUAACGUGAUCUACAAGUUGAUAUCCAAGGUACUAGCCAAUAGACUCAAAGUUUUUCUCCCUGAAAUCAUUUCCCCCACUCAGAGCGCUUUCGUCCCGGGUCGGCUUAUAUCUGAUAAUAUCCUGAUAGCUUAUGAGCUCACUCAUCAUAUCCUGAAUAGAAAGAAAGGAGAGAAAGGUUUUGCUGCUAUAAAACUAGACAUGAGCAAGGCAUAUGAUCGGGUAGAGUGGAGUUUUCUGGGACAGAUGAUGGAGAAAUUGGGCUUUUGUCAGAGGUGGAUUCAGUUGAUAAUGAAAUGUGUAUCGACUGUCUCUUAUCGCAUAAAAGUGAAUGGAGCUUUGUCUGAAAGUUUUGAACCGGAAAGAGGGCUUAGGCAGGGCGAUCCGCUUUCGCCAUACCUUUUCUUGCUAUGCGCAGAGGGUUUCUCGGCUUUGUUGGCUAAAGCUGAGGAGGAUGGUUUAAUUUCGGGAGUGAAAAUCUGCAGGAACGCUCCUAGCAUCUCUCACCUACUAUUUGCUGAUGACUCUUUGAUUCUGAUUUAGGCAAAUGGGGAGGAUGCAAACCAGCUCCGAAACAUUUUGGAGUUAUAUGAGCAGUGUUCCGGGCAGAUGAUCAACAAGUCGAAAUCAGCCGUCUUGUUCAGUCCAAACACGCCAGAACAUAUGAGAGUGGCAGUGAAGGAUGCAAUUGAAGUGCAAAAAGAAAUAAUAAAUGAACGAUAUCUGGGCUUGCGUGUUCAUGUGGGGAUCUCAAAAACAAAUACCUUCUCCUAUUUGAAGGAUAGGGUGUGGAAAAGAAUACAAGGCUGGAAGGAAAAAUAUUUAUCUUGGGCAGGGAAGGAAGUGCUGAUCAAAGCCAUUGCUCAAGCUAUUCCCACCUUUGCUAUGGGGUGUUUUGAUAUUACCAAAACUCUCUGUGAUCAAAUCAGUGCCAUGAUUUGCCGGUAUUGGUGGAAUCAACAGGAGGGAAAGCACAAGAUUCACUGGACUAGCUGGGAUGUGAUGAUUAAACCCAAGAAAGAGGGUGGAUUAGGAUUUCGGGAUAUCCAUGGUUUCAACAUGGCUAUGCUGUGCAAGCAAGCGUGGAGACUAUUACACUCUCCGCUAUCUCUCUGCUCAAGAAUAUUGAAGGCUAAAUAUUUCCCGAACAGUACUGUCCUGGAAGCGCAGCCACGCAGCGGUAUGUCUUAUGCAUGGAGAAGUAUCCUGAAAGGGGUUGACUUACUGAAACAAGGCCUCAUAUGGCGUGUUGGUCAUGGCGCCGAUCUGAAUAUAUGGUCAGAUCCUUGGAUACCUAGAGAUAUGUCAAGGAAACCAAUCACACCAAAGGGUGCAUGUCUAUUACAGAAUGUUGCAGAAUUAUUUGAUCCAGGUACGGGUACCUGGGAUGUGCAGCUGGUUCGUGAAAUUUUUUGGCAGGAGGAUACAAGGCUGAUCUUGGCGCUUCCAGUACAUGAAGGUAUGUAGAACCGGGCUGCUUGGCACUUUGACAAGAAGGGGAUCUUCUUAGUUAAGAGUGCGUACAAAGUCUAUAGAGCAAAUACUAUCCUGAGCAGCCGAAGUGGAGGUGCCUCAUCCUCAGGUUCAGACCAACAGAAGAAUGCAGUCUGGGGCAAGAUAUGGAAGCUGAAUUGUGCAAACAAGGUCAAACAUUUCAUGUGGAGAUUCUGCCACAAUAGUCAUCCAUUACGGAUGAACCUCAAACGCAGGCAUGUGGACAUUGACACAAAGUGUGUGGUGUGCAACAGAUUUGAUGAAGAUGGUGCCCAUUUGUUCAUGAAGUGUAAGCCCAUGAAAAGAGUCUGGCAACUGCUGAACAUGAAUGAGCUUAGAGAGCUACUGAUGUCAAAACGAUCGGCCAGGGAAGUGGUGGAGGAAAUCAUGAUUCAAAAGGAAGAUAUUCAGUCCUUGUGCUGCAUCUUGCUGUGGAUAUGCUGGUCAGAAAGAAACAGAAUCAGAGAAGGAGAGCAUAGUCGAGAUCCAGAGAUCCUAGCUCACCUGAGUAGGGUAAUUGCGGAGGAAUGGCGACAAGAGAAGAAACCCCCUGAAGCUCAUAACCCAGUAGUGCCGCAGCGAUGGGAGAGGCCGGAAAGAAACUUUGUAAAAGCCAACUGUGAUGCUGCGUUUGAUCCUAAUAGUGGCAAUGGAGGCUGGGGCUGCAUUCUGAGGGACUCGGAUGCUGACGCAGUGAUUGCGCUGCGGGGUCGUGUCGAGGCUUUGCUCAGCCCACUGCAAGGAGAGCUAAUUGCAUGCAUUCAGGGUGUCCAAGCUGCAAUCUCGGCCGGUGUGGGUCAUGUCAUUGUUGAAACCGAUGCAACUGAGGUGGUUUCUGCUGUCUACUCCAGUGAGUAUGACCUAAGCCCGGUUGGGAACCUUGUUGAGGAGCUCUGAAGCUUGUUGGACUGGAAUUUUACCACAUGGAAGAUACAACAGCGACAUCGUUCAUGUAAUCGAGUAGCUCAUGAGCUAGCUAAGUUAGGUAGUGUGUGUGAUCUGGGUGUGGAACCAAUCUUGGAUCCCAUUCCUGCGAAUGUUUCAUGUGUAAUUGCUGAUGAUUCAGCUUUGUCUGAGUAAUGGAAAUCACUAUUUCCCCUCAAAAAAAAACCCAAAACUCUUUGUGGCUUGAUAUUACGACAAGCUUUGUUAGAUUUCUAUUUUUAUCUUUUUUUAUUUGAAUUAGAAUUCUUAUUCAAGUUGUUCAGGAUGGAAGGAAUCUAUUCAUACCUAUCCAGGCUACCUUAUCUAUGUGCAUAGCAGUUUCUAUAUUCAUAGCUAGUUAGAGAGGGCCCAACCAAAAUGAGCAUAGAAAUUUUAUUUUUUUAAUAUUUAAAAUAUAGAUAUAGAUAUAGAUAUAGAUAUAGAUAUAGAAGAAGGAUAAAGAGUAAAAACCUAUAAUAUUAUGUAUUUAUUAUUUUAUUAUUUUUGUUUAUAUAAAAGAGGGGAUAAAAAAGGAAAAAAAUGUCACAUACACAGCC
rnacentral:lncRNA from 1 species